rnacentral:sRNA from 1 species
CAUAAUUAUACCAACAACCAUCUAUUACAACAACAGUCAGAAAUGAGUGGGUGCAGAAGAAGAGUUGAUUGCAUAAGUUAAUUACUAAUAAAUGCUAAUCUGUCACAUUAUCCCCCUCUAUCAGAGUGAGUGAGGACUUGUAGAUGUUGAGAGUGAUGAUGUCUUUCAAGAUGAAUGUGAAUUUUCAGAUUGAAUGAUUGUAUUCUAUUCAUUUGAUAAGAUAUUUGCAGUGAUGGUGAUUGAUUUUAUUGUCAAAAAUUGCUUCAAUUUCUUACUUGAGUUUAUUGUCUUCUUCUAUGAUGACAGAUGACUGUUAAUUAAAGAUUCUCUGUGAGAGAAAUGAAUCCUCAGCUGUG